UCAAUUGGACCUGAUAUCAGGCAAGAUUACCCGCUGAACUU
rnacentral:rRNA from 1 species